UACAGAGGGGGCAAGCGUUGUUCGGAAUUACUGGGCGUAAAGGGCGCGUAGGCGGCCGCCUAAGUCAGACGUGAAAUCCCUCGGCUCAACCGGGGAACUGCGUCUGAUACUGGGUGGCUUGAAUUCGGGAGAGGGAUGCGGAAUUCCAGGUGUAGCGGUGAAAUGCGUAGAUAUCUGGAGGAACACCGGUGGCGAAGGCGGUUCUCUGGGACGGUACUGACGCUGAGACGCGAAAGCGUGGGGAGCGAACAGG
rnacentral:rRNA from 1 species